UAACGAAUAUUGGGCAAUGGGCAAAAGCCUGACCCAGCAAUGCCGCGUGCAGGACGAAGUCCUUCGGGAUGUAAACUGCUGUCAGGGGUCCGCAAGCGAAGGGGUCCAACAGGCCCUGGAGUUGAGCAGCCCCAGAGGAAGCCUCGACUAACUCUGUGCCAGCAGUCGCGGUAAGACAGAGGAGGCAAGCGUUGUUCGGAAUCACUGGGCUUAACGCGCGUGUAGGCGGCUUAGAACGUGUCGUGUGAAAUCCCGCGGCUCAACCGCGUAACUGCACGGCAAACUACU
rnacentral:rRNA from 1 species